rnacentral:rRNA from 1 species
UACGGGGGGGGUAAGCGUUGUUCGGAAUUACUGGGCGUAAAGGGCUCGUAGGCGGCCAACUAAGUCGGACGUGAAAUCCCUCAGCUUAACUGGGGAACUGCGUCUGAUACUGGAUGGCUUGGAUUUGGGAGAGGGAUGCGGAAUUCCAGGUGUAGCGGUGAAAUGCGUAGAUAUCUGGAGGAACACCGGUGGCGAAGGCGGCAUCCUGGACCAACAUUGACGCUGAGGAGCGAAAGCGUGGGGAGCGAACAGG